rnacentral:lncRNA from 1 species
ACUCCUCCUGUACUCAGGCCCCAGCUCCUCUGUUCUGCCCAGUGGCCUGGCGCAGGAAAGGUGACCCAGUAGUUCAGCCUGUCCCAGCUGCCUGCCCCAGCACCAUCCCAGACCCCUUUCCCUGGGGCCCACCUUGGCCCUGAGGAAGGCCAGAGCUCGGCUGCUGUUCUCCAGGAAGUGCACACGCAGGCGGCCCCGGCUCGGGGGUGGCAGGGCCUCCCCUGAGAUGAGCUCCAGCAGCCGCAGGAGGUGGAUGCCGUCAGCCAGCUCUGUGUACAGGUUCCGGAUCUUGAUGCCCGCCUGGGGAGGGGACAGGGGUAAGUAUGGGGUCAGCCCAGCCUCACCUGUCCUCCCAUCCUGGGACCUGAGAGGUACGACCCAGAGCAGCUGCUUUGGAAGAAGGAGCUCUGGCCUCAGCUUGGCCUCAGGCAGAUGACCCCACAGCUCACCCCGGAGGCCCACUGGCCAGAGCUGGGGGCCUGGUAUGGGUGGGCUGUGGGUCACAGCUGGCUAUACUCACCUGGCCGCACUGGAAGACGUUAUUGAUCCACUUGGUGAAAGUCUUCUCCUGCAUCUGCAUGUGCCGGGCCUGUAGCUUGCGAAUGUGGCCCGUCUCGUACUGAGAGUCCAUGGUGAGACUUGGACUGGGCGGGACCCGGAGUUCUGUGCUGGGCCUCCUGCUGCGGUGCCCUGCAGCCCCGAGGAGCUCCCGGGGACUGUGGGGCUGACCAGCCAUCAGCCCUGCAGACUUUGGGGAUGAGGAGCUGCUGGAUGGCUCCCUAAACCUGGAGGGCAUGCAGAUUAGGGGAUGAUGUGAAUGGAGAUGGCCCCUCUACCAGGGGCCUGGGGUCCCGCCUUGCCAGACUGUCCUCACAUUUCAUGGGGGUUGCAGCUUGGAGCCCAGCCAGGUAAGGGCCAGUGCUUCUGGUCCCCUGUGCUUGAAUGGCCCAGGGCCCCCUUUGCCCCACCCCACCUUCCAGAUUCUUCUUCUCAGAGCCCCUGCUGCCAGGUCCCUCCACCACAGUGACUGGGACAGGUGGAAGGAAGACAGGAAACUGCUUACCUUGGUGAUGCCUGGGUCCCACAGAGACGGCUCUGCUGGACGGAUGGAGAUGGUAGAUAGCAGGGGCUGCUUACCUUGGUGAUGCCUGGGUUCCACAGAGGCGGCCCAGCUGGACGGAUGGAGAUGGCAGAUAGCAGGGGCUGUGGAGGGAGGGAGAGGGACAUCAGGAGAGGCCAAGGCUGGAGCAGGGCUGCACCACAGCCCUCCCCUUGAGCCAGCGUGCUGGGGUGACGGCACACAGGCGGCAUUGUCCUCCCACCUGCCACAGGGCGUGGCCCAGACAGGGAGGGGGUGGUUCAGGAAUGCUCCAGGGCCAUUGCCAGAUGAUGUCCUCCUUCAUCAUCCUCCCUUCCCCGCCAGCAACUUCUCCAACUCCAGGUGGGGGUCCUGGCUCCCAGGACGCAGAGGCCCAUGGAGCGGCCCUGCCACCGCAUGGGGUGCUGCAGUCUGCGUAGGAGGUACCAAAGGGCAGAGCCUCUGUGGGAAGCCUGUGGACGCACUUCCCAAUCUGAGACUGCCCUCUGUACCCUCUUGGGGCCUCUCUGUGAGCACCCAGGGCGAGGGGAUGAGGGAGCGUCCUGGGCCGUGGUCUUCUCAUUCACCCCCAGGGAACAGCCCAUAGACUGAGGGCCUCACAGACCCUGGGCUUGGCUUUCCAGGCCCUGCCAGAGUGCAGCCUGCCUAGCCCGGGGCUGAAGGGUAGGCUCCCUGGAGGAAGGGGUGACCUGGAACUGCGAGGGCUGUGGAGUCUCCUCCAAAAUUAGAGACACGGUGUUAACUCUGGGCUCCACAGAGCUGGCCGUGGCCCGGGGCUCGGAGGCAGGGGUGCAGAGGGAGCUGGUGGGCGCCCAUCCCUUCCUCCCCGAGCAGCCGUGGACUACAUGCCAGAGUGAAGGCGAGUUCUAAUUCUGGGGGUCUCACCCGCCUCUGGCUAAACUCAGGGUAGCAGUGUGGGCUGGGGUGUGUGUGUGUGGGUGUCUUCCAGCGGCCCUGGAGCCUCUGAAGCGACAGCCCGCUCCUCAGGGAGGCGCUCCUGGCAGCCACAGCCCACAGCAGGACAGCCGCUCAGCGCGCCCUUGAGAGCUGGGCUAGGGAUGAGUCACACUUGAACCGCCUGGGCCCACUGCAGGCAGUCAGGGGUGACGCUGAGAGGUGCCGUGGUCUCGGGUGGGGUGCGGCUUCCUGCGUCUGAGAGACGCUUCCUCUCCUGCUGUCCUCUCCCUGCCAGGCCCCUUCUGCAGCGGCUGGCUUCCAGACACCCUGCGUCCCUCCCUUGCUCGCAGCAGUUGCUGUGGCGGUCCUCCCGUGCACCCCCCCUUCUGCCCUCACUGCCCCUGGGGGUCCUCAUCACGGACCCCCUAACUCGGCAUCCUGGACACCACCACCCCGCACCUUUCCACAGUGCAGCUCUGCUCGUGCCUGUGAAGCCUCCCACAGCCUGGGAAGGAAAAUCCAGACUUGCCAGACCUUGCCUCAGCCAGGCCUUGGAAGCCUGCCAGCUUACCUAACCAGUAAGACCCUCAGCCCAUGGAGUCCUGUGUGAUGUUGUGAGCGUGGGAGGACAGACUGAACUGCUCGGCCCGUGGAGUCCUGUGUGAUGUUGUGAGCGGGGAGGACAGACUGAACUGCGUGGUGCUUCGCACAUAGACCUCAACAGGGAUUGGCAUUUUGAAGCUGUUGGCGGGGGCUGUGGACUGCUUUUCUUCCUUUCUAGCUCAACGGCAGCUAAAGCCACUGCAUACAAUGCAAGGACUGGCUCCUGUUUGGCCACGACUGAUUGCAGCCCCUGGUGAAAUGAGAACCCUGUGGGUCGGAACAAAGUUUGGAUUAUUUAUGUUGCAAGUAACUAAAAUCUCAAGUGAAACUGGUUUAAACAUUA